AUGAGGCUUAAUAUCUAAAAGAAAGAAAAACGUCACUUUGAUUAGGCAGUAAAUUCGAGCUAGUGGAAGAGUUUCAUCAGUUAAGCAUAUAGGCAUUAUAUAUAGCAUGUAAAAUUGAGUGAAAACCCCACAAGAAUUCUGGAAAUAGACUAAGAAUCGAAGGAGAAGUACGAGCUAGAAGUUCUUGGGGAUUUUCGAAGUUUUCUGGCAAUUAAGGUUGCGUGUAGCAUGACAAGGGUUAAAACCUAACGCCAAUAAGUCGUCGUACAGGGUGUUAGUACGCGGCGGAGAGUUUACGCUCUGUUUAUCUAGCCGUAAGCAUGCAUAUUUGUUGUGCCCGGCGGAGGGACUUGUUCCCUGGAAAUAACAGUAGUUCCCCAAUGUGUCAUCAAGGGUGGAAAGAAAUGAAAAGAAUUAUAUUGAUAAUUUGUUGCACUAUUUUUAUUUUAUUGAUGUUAAUAUGCAUGGAAACCACGAACUCACUAGGCCCUAGGCUUACCCAUUAGAAUCUUUAAAUGCACGCAACCCAGGAAAUAACGUAGCAAAUGGCAGCGAGAAUGGAAAGGAUAAAGUUCAGACUUGAAGAAGGCGACAAGUUUUGAGGAAGACGUAGCGCACCAAGUGUUUACUUAAAUUUCUAUUUGCUUUCGCUAUUAUUAUUAAUAAUGACAUUAGUAUUUGAAUUUUAGAAUUUUAGAAGUUUUUAAACUAUGUUAAGUUAACAUUGGUAUUUGAAAUUUGGGGCGUUACAAAAAUAAAUAAACAACUAAUGAGUGACUGUUAACAAAGCA